CCUACGGGAGGCAGCAGUGGGGAAUAUUGGACAAUGGGCGAAAGCCUGAUCCAGCAAUGCCGCGUGAGUGAUGAAGGCCUUAGGGUUGUAAAGCUCUUUUACCCGAGAUGAUAAUGACAGUAUCGGGAGAAUAAGCUCCGGCUAACUCCGUGCCAGCAGCCGCGGUAAUACGGAGGGAGCUAGCGUUAUUCGGAAUUACUGGGCGUAAAGCGCACGUAGGCGGCUUUUUAAGUCAGGGGUGAAAUCCCGGGGCUCAACCCCGGAACUGCCCUUGAAACUGGGAAGCUAGAAUCUUGGAGAGGCGAGUGGAAUUCCGAGUGUAGAGGUGAAAUUCGUAGAUAUUCGGAAGAACACCAGUGGCGAAGGCGACUCGCUGGACAAGUAUUGACGCUGAGGUGCGAAAGCGUGGGGAGCAAACAGGAUUAGAUACCCCGGUAGUCCACGCCGUAAACGAUGAUAACUAGCUGUCCGGGUUCAUGGAACUUGGGUGGCGCAGCUAACGCAUUAAGUUAUCCGCCUGGGGAGUACGGUCGCAAGNUUAAAACCUUAAAGGAAAUUGACGGCUGAGAAGUGCGAGAGACACGAGGAGAG
rnacentral:rRNA from 1 species